UACGUAGGGUGCAAGCGUUAAUCGGAAUUACUGGGCGUAAAGGGCGUGUAGGCGGUUUGUUAAGUCAUGUGUGAAAUCCCUCGGCUCAACCGGGGAAGGACGCAUGAAACUGGCAAGCUAGAGUACCAAAGAGGGGGGUGGAAUUCCCGGUGUAGCGGUGAAAUGCGUAGAUAUCGGGAGGAACGCCUGUGGCGAAGGCGGCCCCCUGGUUGGAUACUGACGCUGAUACGCGAAAGCGUGGGGAGCAAACAGG
rnacentral:rRNA from 1 species